UACGAAGGGGGCUAGCGUUGCUCGGAAUUACUGGGCGUAAAGGGCGCGUAGGCGGAUAGUUUAGUCAGAGGUGAAAGCCCAGGGCUCAACCUUGGAACUGCCUUUGAUACUGGCUAUCUUGAGUUCGGGAGAGGGAUGCGGAAUUCCGAGUGUAGAGGUGAAAUUCGUAGAUAUUCGGAGGAACACCAGUGGCGAAGGCGGCUCACUGGCUCGAUACUGACGCUGAGGUGCGAAAGCGUGGGGAGCAAACAGG
rnacentral:rRNA from 1 species